ACCUCCCUCAAGCUACAGUAACCACGGACAUUUGCAAGAGCGCUUCACAAGUCACGUGUUUCACAGGCAAGCCUGCCUUGUCUCUCUCUCCUGUCUCUCAUGAUGGUAUCUCUCUCUUCUCUGCUGUUACUCUCCCACCCUCUUUCUCCCUUCUCAAUCUUUGCAUUAACUCUUCCUUUCCUGCUGCCACUCUCCCACCUUCUCUCGCUUUUCUCCAUCUUCCACCCCUCACUCUCUCCUGUUGCCACUAUCCCACCCUCUAUCUCUCCUCCUUCUUCCACCCCUCUCUCUCUUGCUGCCAUUCUCCCACCCUCUCUCUCUCCAUCAAAUUUGAGGAACCUCUCUCUCUCUCUCCUGCUACUCCUUCACUGGCCUAUCUCUCAAACCCUCGCAAUCUCUUUGAAACUCACCCCUUUCUCUCAAUCUCUCUCCCGGCUAUCGCUCUUUGCCCCUCUCAAUAUAUCUUUCGCUGCCCCUCUCUCUGGAUCUCCCUCUAUGCCCCUCUCACUCUCUAGAAAUAUAACCUAGAACACUGAAAAUUUCUGAAAUUUCCCAAAUUUUUUAUGCUCUAUUGCUGCUGCAAAGACGAUUGAGAUAACCUUCGGUAGAUUGAGGUUCAUCCGAGGUUCAGAAUGAAGUGGGAUGCGGCCAUCUAGUGUGGUGUGACGAGUUCCUAGGCCAAGAUAUAAAACCCAUGGUCAGAAGGUUCAUGUCACAGAGGCCAGAUGUUUGUGUCACUGAAGGAGUACAUCCUGUUCUAUAUGAAGAAGAGAAGCUCAAAGUUGUUGCUAUGGUCCCUGAGAAAGUAGCCACUGUAAAAUUUAUUAUAAAUUUAUUAUUAUGAGCGCAAUUGUUCUUAUAUUGUUGAUGUUCUCCAUUCUUUUUCUUUUGAAAGGAAUGGGCGUUUGUUUCAUGGUCUCAUUACAAAUGUAGUUCAGUUUAUUAUUAUUUUUUUGUUUGGUGAUGUAUUCUAAUAUGGUUAGAAUGACAUUUGAAUGGACAAAAAUGUGAAUGGCAUUUGAAUGUGAAUGACAUUUGAAUGGACAAAAAUAUUGAAUGGAAUUUGAAUGUGAAUGGCAUUUGUAUGGACAAAA